UGCAUGGUCGUCGUCAGCUCGUGUCGUGAGAUGUUGGGUUAAGUCCCGCAACGAGCGCAACCCUCGCCCCGUGUUGCCAGCGGAUUGUGCCGGGAACUCACGGGGGACCGCCGGGGUUAACUCGGAGGAAGGUGGGGAUGACGUCAGAUCAUCAUGCCCCUUACGUCCAGGGCUUCACGCAUGCUACAAUGGCCGGUACAACGGGAUGCGACAGCGCGAGCUGGAGCGGAUCCCUGAAAACCGGUCUCAGUUCGGAUCGCAGUCUGCAACUCGACUGCGUGAAGGCGGAGUCGCUAGUAAUCGCGAAUCAGCAACGUCGCGGUGAAUGCGUUCCCGGGCCUUGUACACACCGCCCGUCAAGUCAUGAAAGUGGGCAGCACCCGAAGCCGGUGGCCUAACCCCUUGCGGGAGGGAGCCGUCUAAGGUGAGGCUCGUGAUUGGGACUAAGUCGUAACAAGGUAGCCGUACCGGAAGGUGCGGCUGGAUCACCUCCUUU
rnacentral:rRNA from 1 species